AGUUUGAUUCUGGCUCAGGAUGAACGCUGGCGGCGUGCCUAACACAUGCAAGUCGAACGAAGCAUACGGACUGGAGAUUCGUCGAAGGACUGUAUGACUUAGUGGCGGACGGGUGAGUAAUGUAUGAGCAACCUGCCUUUCAGAGGGGGACAACAGUUGGAAACGACUGCUAAUACCGCGUAACGUAUCGUGAGGGCAUCCUCGUGAUACCAAAGGAGCAAUCCGCUGAAAGAUGGGCUCAUAUCUGAUUAGCUUGUUGGCGGGGUAACGGCCCACCAAGGCGACGAUCAGUAGCCGGACUGAGAGGUUGAACGGCCACAUUGGGACUGAGAUACGGCCCAGACUCCUACGGGAGGCAGCAGUGGGGAAUAUUGGGCAAUGGGCGAAAGCCUGACCCAAGCAACGCCGCGUGAAGGAAGAAGGUCUUCGGAUUGUAAACUUCUUUUAUGAGGGACGAAGGACGUGACGGUACCUCAUGAAUAAGCCACGGCUAACUACGUGCCAGCAGCUGC
rnacentral:rRNA from 1 species